GAUCUGUCAUUCUAGCAUAGUUCAUUUGUGGCUCUGAUCAAGUCAUUGAGCUGAUCACUCCCACGUCUACGCCAAGGAUUUCAUCAGCUGGGUCAUUUGUCUUGCAAAGAGCUGCAGAAGGUUCUACCCCAAACCAAGCAGAAUCUCUCAAUGCUGACGUGAAAACAAGAACAGGCUGGUUCAGAUGGGAUGACAAGCCAUGGAAAUGGAGGAACUAUUACACUAAAGAAUGCAAAGUCUGCAAUCUAAGGAAAACACAGGAAAUCUGAAAUUGAAGUAGGCUGCCAUCCUUUCUGAUUGCUGUACGUCCAUUAUGAAUUAUAUAUUUUUGCAAUGUA